UACGUAGGGUGCAAGCGUUAAUCGGAAUUACUGGGCGUAAAGCGUGCGCAGGCGGUUUUGUAAGUCAGAUGUGAAAUCCCCGGGCUUAACCUGGGAACUGCGUUUGAAACUACAAGGCUAGAGUGUGGCAGAGGGGGGUGGAAUUCCACGUGUAGCAGUGAAAUGCGUAGAGAUGUGGAGGAACACCGGUGGCGAAGGCGGCCCGCUGGGACAUAGCUGACGCUGAGGCGCGACAGCGUGGGGAGCAAACAGG
rnacentral:rRNA from 1 species